ACCUGCGAUGCAUUAGCUAGUUGGUAAGGGUAACGGGCUUACCCAAGGCGAUGAUGCAUAGCCCGAGUUGAGAGACUGAUCGGGCACGUUGGGGACUGAGACACGGGCCCAAACUCCUACGGGAGGCAGCAGUAGGGAAUCUUCCACAAUGGACGAAAGUCUGAUGGAGCAAACGCCGCGUGAGUGAAGAAGGUUUUCGGAUCGUAAAGACUCUGUUGUUGGUGAAGAAGGAUAGAGGUAGUAACUGGCCCUUUAUUUGACGGUAAUCAACCAGAAAGUCACGGGCUAACUACGUGCCAGCAGCCGCGGUAAAU
rnacentral:rRNA from 1 species